UUGCAACGGGGAAUAUUUGUGAUAAUUUGUCGGUCUGAGACGAACUAGCAUUGCUGCAUGCAAAAUGGCAUGACCCCAAACCAAAGUGGGCAGCCUCGUUGUCAUGAGUAAUGGUCUUGCUAUCAACUGCAGACGAUUAAUUAAAUACUCUCCAAGACCAUUUUGAGUGUGAACAUGAGCUACAUGAUGUUCUACUUUUAUCCCAAUUGAUAAGCAAUAAUCAUUAAAUGCUUGGGAUGAAAACUCAGCAGCAUUAUCUAGUCUAAUAGACUUAAU
rnacentral:lncRNA from 1 species